AUGGUAAGGUGCUGAAGGUGGUCUCCAUACCUAAAGAGAAUUGGGAGACUGAAGAAAUCGUUUUAGAGGAGCUCAAAGUUUUCAAGUCUCAGACCCCGGUUGUGAACAUGGAGCUCUCCACCAAAAGACAAGUGUUGUUUGUGAGCAGCGAUGAAGGUGUCGUCCAGCUGCCCGUUCAGAGAUGUGAUCUGUACGGUAAAGCGUGUGUAGACUGCUGUCUAGCUCGAGAUCCAUACUGCGCUUGGGACGGCUCCUCGUGCACCAACUACUUCCCCAGCAAC